UACGUAGGGGGCAAGCGUUGUCCGGAAUUAUUGGGCGUAAAGAGCGUGUAGGCGGUCCGAUAAGUCGGCUGUGAAAGUCCAGGGCUCAACUCUGGAAUGCCGGCCGAUACUGUCGGACUAGAGUCCGGAAGAGGUGAGUGGAAUUCCCGGUGUAGCGGUGAAAUGCGCAGAUAUCGGGAGGAACACCAAUGGCGAAGGCAGCUCACUGGGACGGCACUGACGCUGAGACGCGAAAGCGUGGGGAGCAACAGG
rnacentral:rRNA from 1 species